UGACAUCCCAUAAUCACUCUCUUACAGAUAAGUCUGGCUAGAAACUAUACUCGUAGACAUACAGAUAUAUAUACACAUGACCUUGUUAAGUAGCUCCGUGAAAAUAAUAUUUGCUUCAGCAAGGUGUACAAUAUAAUUUAUACACUCGGAUUGCCACCAUAAAACGUUCUCUUGGAUAUAGCUUUUCGGUGCCACCAAAAAUUGUUUCUAUUGGUGUCGAUGAUCACUCGUAAAAUGAAAAGAAUUGGGUGGUGUGUUGAAAUUGUGAGAUAGCCAUGUAGGACGAGGUGCUCUAUUGUACUUGAGUAAGGAUCUGGAGUAUUAGUCGUGUUCUUGCCUGAAGGACUUACUUUUAGACUAGACUAUUUACAGAUCAGAGACUGACAUUCACAUGUGAAUUACUUAAUUCCAUAUGUUACAACUUAAUACCGUACUUAGUACAGUACUAUUACUGACUUUGGUUUAUUGAGUGACCUUGCAUCAGUACCAUAUUUAGCAUCUAUAGAACACUUGUGUAGUUUCUUGGUUUUAAACAUUUAAUCAGCUUCCAUCCACUUCAAAUGUAGUUAAUUGGCCUUAGUUUUAUCAGCAGUCCAUUACUCCCUCUGUUCCAAAAUAGAUGACUCAACUUUGUAUUAACUUUAGUAUAAAGUUGGGUCAUCUAUUUUGGAACGGAGGGAGUAUUUGAUAAUUGAUAGACUUAGAAUUGAAGUAGCUUUUGUACAGCAUGGCAGCUGCUGUCGAAUAUGAAUGAUGAUUGAUGAAUGCUUGCUCCUUGUACUGCUUGCCGUUAGGUAGCAUGGCAUGGGGGGACGAGGAUCAAUCAAGCACUUGAUAAAAGAGACACCAAAUGGGGAAGUAUUAUCUAUUCUGAUCUCUUUCUCAUUAAUUUUCUAUCUUAACUCUAUAUUUACAUGGCAUAUUUUUAUUUUAUUUCAUAUAUACUCGCCGUAUUUCUGAAUGGCUGUUUCUGGAACAUGUCGUAUCCUAUGUCCCCGUAUGCGUAUCCCCGUCUUUCCGUCCCCGUGUCCAUGCUUUUUAGCUUAUUACUACCUAUAUUUGUGAAAUGUCUUAAUGUUGUUGUGCUAUAUUUACGAAAUUUUAUACAUCAGAUUGUGUGCUUAAUACUGCUACACUUGCAAAAUGUCCGAUGAGCGGUUUCGGAUAUGAUAAGUUUGAAUGGGUACAAUGCAGCUGGGACUAACCAAAUAGUUAAUCAAUAGCAGGGAUUACAAGGUUGCUAGGGAAUCAACCUCCACAAAGAUUGAUUGACAAGUACGGGAUCAACCCAAUCACUGGGUGGAUUAGUUCCACUAGGGGAUUGGCCGGUCCCCCUAUAACCAAACAAGGCCUACGGUUGUCCUGCAUCUGGUGGAACAUCGUAACAAAGAUGGACUUUGCCUUAAACAUGUAGCCAGUUUCAGAAAUGGUGUUCAUCGUGUACUUUGUUUUUCCUGUAGGGCAGCACGGGUGAUGAAAGCUAACACGUCAUCGGAGCAGCAUGCGAGUGAGGUGUACACUAGGGCCCAUGUUCGAGAAGUUUGGCCAGAUACUGUAGGAAGCAGGGCAGUACAGGGUCGAACCUGUUGAGCAAGGCAUGAAGUACCUAGUGCGGCGGCACAAUCCGGAGAGGCAUGACAAACGGUGCAAGGUGGUGUAUGAGGUCACAGUUGAUGGAGGGGGUGAUCAGUUUCUAUGCGAGUGCGGCAACUUCGAGCACACGAGAAUGUUGUGCAGUCAUUCACUGAAGGCACAUAAAAUUUGUUCAAAUGCUUCAUGCCUAUAGCGACAGUGUUUAAUGGACCAACAUGUGACAUCUCGAUUAAUGAUGCUACUCAGGUGCAAGUCAUGGAUUUUAUGGGAGUCACGGAGACACACCAGACAGAGGUGACAUGCUGAAGAAACCGAGGAGGUAGCUGAAAUGCACCCACUGUGCCGUAGGUGGUCACCGGCGAAACAUGUGCGGAAACCCAAGUAUGGUGCUUCAUGCAGUGCCUCCUGCUGAAACCCCAAUCCGGCUGGAGGUGACAGUUGUGUAGUUAGCUUUGUUUCUAGUUUUGCGUCCAAUUUGUACAAUUUGAUUUUGUCUUGUGAGCUAGUAGGAUAGUAGGAUUUUCCUAAACCUGUGUGCAUUUAACGUAACCCUGUGUCACCCGCAAAAUAAGCUACAACUAUUGUGAAAAAUUAUGAUUGUUAACGAGGCAUGUUCGUAUAUUUUCUCAGAUCA